rnacentral:tRNA from 1 species
UGGGACGUAGCUCAACGGCAGAGCAAACGGCUUAUAUCCGUUAGGCUGAGGGUUCAAAUCCCUCCGUCCCGACCA